rnacentral:lncRNA from 1 species
AAGAAUAAUCCAUCUCCACGUAAAAAGGUUAAGAAACAGAUGAGACAGCUUCCUCGUGAAGCUAUUCAGAAGACCCUUUUGUUUCAUGAGGCUCUUGUACAGGACAUCCGAAAUAAGUACACAAAAGCACAGGGGGAGAAGGAAAGGCAAAUCAUCGCAAAGAUAGUAACAGGAAAAGUUUUGAAAAAGUACAGACUACAGCGUUUUGCUUUAAACUCAUUGGGCUUUUCAAAGAAAAGAUGGAACCAUGAGAAGGAGGGGAGGUUUAACUUCACCUAUGAUCGGAAGCGAAACAACAGGAUUGCAGCUGGUCUAAUAGAGAGGGUGAGAGAUUUCUAUUUAAGAGAUGAUGUGAGUCGCAUCACAACUGGGAAGAAGCAGACCAUCACUCAAAAGAAAAACAGAAAACAAAAACGUUUCCUGUCUGAUACGAUGAAAAAUUUGCACAGGAAGUUUCUGGCAGAAGAUAAAAGCUCCAUUUCCUACUCCCUCUUUUGUUUGCUCCGACCUUUUUGGGUUUCUCAUCCAACUCUGAGUGAUCGGGACACAUGCAUGUGCAAGAUGCAUGAGAAUCUGGGCUUUCUUGUGCAGAAGCUGCACCAGUUGAAAGUGAUCAACACAGUCAACCUGGAUGAUCUUGUGAAAGCCAUCACAUGUGACACACACAGUAUUGAGUGCAUGUAUGGACAGUGCGCUGAGUGCAAAGAUCUUUCCUGCCCAGUGUCCAGCCAGUAUAAUCCACAGAGUCAAGUGUCUUAUCUCCAGUGGGCAAUUGUGGAUAAGGAGCACAAGAAUGACCCCAAUGGCAAAACAUCUAAAAUCACAAUCAAAAAAGAGCUACUUGGCACACAAGAAGAACUACUGGAACAGAUGAAUCUUCUUCUGCAUAGAUUUAAACGACACAUGUUCAACAUCAACAACCAGUUUUCCCAUUACAGGGCACUGAGGCAUGGCUUGAAAGCACAUGAAUGCUUAAUUCAUGUUGAUUUUUCUGAGAAUUACCUCUGCAAGUACAGCAC